rnacentral:rRNA from 1 species
GCGAACGCUGGCGGCGUGCUUAACACCUGCAAGUCGAACGGAAAGGCCCUGCUUUUGUGGGGUGCUCGAGUGGCGAACGGGUGAGUAACACGUGAGUAACCUGCCCUUGACUUUGGGAUAACUUCAGGAAACUGGGGCUAAUACCGGAUAGGAGCUCCUGCUGCAUGGUGGGGGUUGGAAAGUUUCGGCGGUUGGGGAUGGACUCGCGGCUUAUCAGCUUGUUGGUGGGGUAGUGGCUUACCAAGGCUUUGACGGGUAGCCGGCCUGAGAGGGUGACCGGCCACAUUGGGACUGAGAUACGGCCCAGACUCCUACGGGAGGCAGCAGUGGGGAAUAUUGCACAAUGGGCGGAAGCCUGAUGCAGCAACGCCGCGUGCGGGAUGACGGCCUUCGGGUUGUAAACCGCUUUCGCCUGUGACGAAGCGUGAGUGACGGUAAUGGGUAAAGAAGCACCGGCUAACUACGUG